GAACGGUAGCAGGCCUUCGGGCGCUGACGAGUGGCGGACGGGUGAGUAACGCGUAGGAAUCUGCCUCAUAGUGGGGGACAACGUGGGGAAACUCACGCUAAUACCGCAUACGCCCUACGGGGGAAAGCGGGGGAUCUUCGGACCUCGCGCUAUGAGAUGAGCCUGCGUUAGAUUAGCUAGUUGGUGGGGUAAAGGCCUACCAAGGCGACGAUCUAUAGCUGGUCUGAGAGGACGAUCAGCCACACUGGGACUGAGACACGGCCCAGACUCCUACGGGAGGCAGCAGUGGGGAAUAUUGGACAAUGGGCGCAAGCCUGAUCCAGCAAUACCGCGUGUGUGAAGAAGGCCUUAGGGUUGUAAAGCACUUUCAAUUGGGAGGAAAACCUACCGGUCAAUACCCGGUAGCUUGACAUUACCUUUAGAAGAAGCACCGGCUAACUCCGUG
rnacentral:rRNA from 1 species